rnacentral:miRNA from 1 species
UCACCGGGCGAAAAUUUGGCACA